AUGGGGGACUUUGAUGGUGAGCAAACAUAUAUUAAGAAAUUGGUAAACUUUCGCAUGAUCGAUGGUAAAAGAACGAGAGUUCGUGCUAUUGUUUAUAAAACUUUUCACCGCCUAGCUCGAACUGAACGCGAUGUAAUAAAACUUAUGGUUGACGAUGUAGAUAAUACAAAGCCAAUAUGCGAAGUGGUCAAAGUAGUAGUCACAGGUACUAUUUAUGAUGUUCCUGGGAUUGUAGCUAGGGAUCAUCAAUAAACCUUAGCUAUUCGUUGGAUCCUUGGAGCGGCUUUCAAACGACGUAUAAGCUACAUGAUAAGCUUAGAGAAAUUAUCAUUUGCUGAGAUACUGGAUGCUUACUGAAAGAGGGGAAUUUCACGUAAGAGAAGGGAGAAUAUUCAUGGAAUGGCUUCCACCAAACAGAGUUUCGCACAUUUCAGAUGGUGGUAA
rnacentral:rRNA from 1 species